CCUACGGGUGGCAGCAGUGAGGAAUAUUGGUCAAUGGACGAGAGUCUGAACCAGCCAAGUAGCGUGAAGGAUGACUGCCCUAUGGGUUGUAAACUUCUUUUAUAUGGGAAUAAAAUGUUCCACGUGUGGGCUUUUGUAUGUAUCAUAUGAAUAAGGAUCGGCUAACUCCGUGCCAGCAGCCGCGGUAAUACGGAGGAUCCGAGCGUUAUCCGGAUUUAUUGGGUUUAAAGGGAGCGUAGGUGGAUUGGUAAGUCAGUUGUGAAAGUUUGCGGCUCAACCGUAAAAUUGCAGUUGAAACUGGCAGGCUAGAGUACAGUAGAGGUAGGCGGAAUGCGUGGUGUAGCGGUGAAAUGCUUAGAUAUCACGAAGAACUCCGAUUGCGAAGGCAGCUCACUGGACUGCAACUGACACUGAGGCUCGAAAGUGUGGGUAUCAAACAGGAUUAGAUACCCUUGUAGUC
rnacentral:rRNA from 1 species